rnacentral:rRNA from 1 species
AGCGAACGCUGGCGGCAGGCCUAACACAUGCAAGUCGAACGAACCUUUCGGGGUUAGUGGCGGACGGGUGAGUAACACGUGGGAACGUGCCUUUAGGUUCGGAAUAACUCAGGGAAACUUGUGCUAAUACCGCAUGUGCCCUUCGGGGGAAAGAUUUAUCGCCUUUAGAGCGGCCCGCGUCUGAUUAGCUAGUUGGUUGAGGUAAUGGCUCACCAAGGCGACGAUCAGUAGCUGGUCUGAGAGGAUGAUCAGCCACAUUGGGACUGAGACACGGCCCAAACUCGUACGGGAGGAAGCAGUGGGGAAUCUUGCGCAAUGGGCGAAAGCCGGACGAAGCCAUGCCGCGUGAAUGAUGAAGGUCUUAGGAUUGUAAAAUUCUUUCACCGGGGACGAUAAUGACGGUACCCGGAGAAGAAGCCCCGGCUAACUUCGUG